CAGGAAGCCAGCAUUUUUAAUAAAUAGGAAGUAAAUUAUAUUUAAUGACUAAAUUCUCACCUAAAGUUGAUACUAAUAUUACAAUAACUCUCUUGUGCCCUAUUUUGGUGUUUUAAACUUCUUUGCUGUACAUUUAAGAAAAUCAGAAUUUCAGUAGACUCCUCGUGCAGUCUGAGGAGGCAGUUUCCUAUCUGGUUUGACUUAAGGGGCUGCAGAAGACAUUCUUAUCCCACAUAUUUCUUCUGCUGAUCAGUCAGCAACUGAAAUUCCAACUAAUGGAUUCCAUUCUUCCAGUUAAGACAUCAUCUCCAGAAAACUGUGCUAGUUGGCAUCCAGCAGUGCCCAAGUAUUAUUUAACCCACUAGAACCUGUGACUGCAUCAGCUUUAUAUCCUGGACCUCAGCCUGGAACAAAGGAGAGCUACACUUGGAUACUAAACACAAGUGGUCUGGAUAGAUUAUGCUGGGAAAAGAAGCCUGGAGCAGGCAGUACAGUGGGAGAACAAGCAAAGAUGCAGGUGCGUCUAUGAAAGCGAACUUUGUCGAGAUCUCAGUGACACACUCUGCUUUUCCAAAUUGCCUCAAUUGGCAGUGAAUAUUAGAAAGAGUCAUGGAAUGUCUCUGGAAAGAUACAUAGGAGAACUAGUGACAUUGGAUCCUUGUGGGUAGGGAGACACUGUGUAAGUGCAUCAAAGAGGCUGACUUUUCACUGUGCACACUCCUUCAGACCACUGGAAAUUCGGAAUUGUAUACGGUGUGCAUGUAUUACCUCCUUAAAACUAGCUAGCUACCUAUCUACCUACCUACCUACCCACCCACCUACCUUCCUACCUGGCUAAUUCAUUAGCUAAGAGAGAAUGGAGUUGCAGCAGACUGCUCAGGAAUUGUACAUCACCAGUAGCUUCUGUCUCAGCUAAGUGUGGGAGACUGAUACUGAUGAGCCAUUAACAAUGGUGGAGAUUCUGAAUCACUGAAGCACUUGAUAAAAGAAAUGUCGUGGGUGAUGUGAAAAUCUACAUAUGCCCAUGAGAGUAUAUUGAGUUUGUAAGUGUUGUUGCUUAGUGUGUCACAGAGAAGUUUAUAAGAAACUAUUUUGGAGUAAGAAACAACACAGAAGAACACAGUUUCAGCCUGAAAUGGCUUAUUUAGCCACUGACCAUCAGAAACAAUUACUUUUUACCUUAACCUAGAUUUGUAAUAGCAGGAUGCAUUGAAUUCCUUCAUUGAAGUGAAACCUUAGCAAAUCUUUAAGUAGUACUCUAAAGUGACAAAAGGUGUUUACAUUUACUAAUGUAAAUUUCUUGUGGAGAUAAAGUUUUUAUUCUUCUUGGGUCUCAAGACUGCUCAAGAAGGAACCAUCGUUUGUUCUACACUGCUCUGUUCUAAAUGUUUGUUCCCCCAAUAUUCAUAUGUUGAAAUUCUAACCCCCAAGGAGAUAGUAUUAGGAGGUGGGGCCUUCGGGACAUGAUAAGGUCAUGAGGAUGAAGCCCUCAAGAAUAAGAUUCAUUGCCUUAUAAAGAAAAACCAGAAAGAUCCCUCAUUUCUUCAAUCAUAAGAAGACACAUGAGCAAGAAGACGGCCAGCUAUGAAGCAGGUCGUGGGCCCUCGCCAGACACUGAAUCUGCCAACACUUUGAUCUUGGAUUUCCUAGCCUGCAGAACUGUGAGAAAUAAAUUUCUUUUCUUUAUAAUCCACUCAGUCUAAGGUACUUUGUUCUAGCAGCCUGAAUGUACUGCGACAUAACACUCCCUUGCUGUUUUAUUGUUGAGAAAGGAGGAAGGGUAGGUCUUUUAUUGUUGAAUAAGGUGGGGAGGAGAGGACUUUUGGGGUGAGCACCGUGUGCUUAUUGCUGCUUGGAGUGGACUCUUUCUCACCCUAUAUUUAUGUGUUAAAUGGAGUAGGAUGUGAUUGGGCAUGUGGUUUUCAGCUACAUUAAAGUAGCUUCUUUGGGCUGUGUGAGAGACACUAAAUACCAUUUCAUAAACACUGAAAAAGAAGUCUCACAGAAGUGCUUGCCUUGGUGAUCCAAAAAAGGCAGGAUCCGGCCGGGGGCAAGGUGAUUAUUCUGUCUGAUGAGGAGAAUAAGAGCCAGUUUGUGGUAUUGACAGAAGAAUGAAAGUAAAGCAGUCUUGAAAGAUGGGAAGAUCAGGAGCAGUCUGGAGUCAUGGUAUAUGAAUGAACUAGUGAGAGUGGGCACAAAGUCUGAAGAUCUUUGUAGUGCAGCUAAUGUCUAAGGGAGAAUAUACCUACCCUAGAAGAGACAUUAAACAACCAGGAAGCUUACUGCAGGAAAGAAAUCCCUCAGAGUCCUGAAGAUACAGCUUUCAGAACUUAGGUGAAGCAAGAGGACUCAAGGUGUGCAAGAAUGGACAGUACAGAAUGCUCUGCUACACUGCUCAGAUUCCCCCUUCAGGAAGGAAGGACAAAUUCACUCAACUUCUGGGAGCAUUGAUGGUUGAGCUCUCAGCCAUCAGACCUUUUUGGAAGUUGCCCUCUUCUGAAAAGAGGCACAUUGCCCAAGAUCUUUCCUCCUCCAGAGCGCAGGCUGCACCUGAAGUCUGAUUGAUGUGGGGUAUGAUGGUCUGGUCUCCUUUCCCCAUCUAAAGGACUGUUCUAACCUCAGGGCUCUCCUUGAGUUUCCUUAGUUAGUUCUUAUUACUAUGUUGCAGUCCAACUUCUUCUUUGGCCUAAUUCUACUUUCCUCCCAUUCCCCAAUUGUUGAUCCUGACAGCAAUUUCCCCCCAAAUUUCUGUAAACUAAGCAUGAUCUCAGAGUCACCUGACCUGCAACAUUAUUACAUACACUAUAGUCCGUGCACUUAAAGAUUUAGUGAAAGUAUGCUGCUGAAGCUUGCCAGAACUUCCCUUCUUCCACUGAAAAUUUGUCUGUUCAUAGAUAUACACCAUUCGUUCUCUUCUCUACUUUGGCCAAUUAUCUUAUGUUUGGGAAGGUGUUCUGCUAGAAGACAAAAUAGCAAUUCUUAGAACUAGAAAGAAAAACACAUCAAAGUCUGUCCUUUCUUAUGUCUUUUCUAUCUACAACAAAUACCCUGUGAUAAAAAGGAUGAUAGGAAAUAUAAGUAGUUUGAGUCCACCAAAUAUUUGGCUUGAAGUAUUUGGGUAUGAAAUACAAACUCACUUGACCUGGGCUCAAAUUUGCCAGCACUUCUUUUCUUUCUUCUCUUUUCAGAAACAGACUUUAUUUAUAUCAAUGUUAACAUCAAUCACAUAACCAUCAGGAAGGCUGUAACUUUGAUUUUUUUUUGUCCAAUAGUUGGGCCAAGUUUACAUUUCUCUUAUUUUAUUUAUUUAUUAUUAUUAUUUUUUUGAGAUGGAGUCUUACUCUGUCACCCAGGCUGGAGUGCAAUGGCGUCAUCUCAGCUCACUGCAACCUCCGCCUCCUGGGUUCAAACAAUUCUCCUGCCUCAGCCUCCUGAGAAGCAGGGAUUACAAGUGUGUGCCACCACGCCCGGCUAAUAUUUGUACUUUCAGUAGAGAACGGGGGUUUCACCAUGUUGCUCAGGUGGUCCCGAACUCCUGACCUUGCGAUCCACCCGCCUUGAACUCCCAAAGUGCUGGGAUUACAGGUGUGAGCCACCGUGCCUGGACCAUUUCUUUUCUCAUAUAUCAGCCUAUGCCAGGGGGGAGACUGGCUGAGGUUAAAGGCUAAUGUCAAGUACUAACUGAACAACAAAUGGAUAACCUCAACAAUGCAAUAUCCUGGUUGAAAUUGUUAGUGAAUUUUUUUAGCAGACCUGAGAUCUAUGUAUCUCCAUUCAACAAGUAAAGGUAGACUAUUUCCUUAAAUGCAAAUUCCUAUAAAAAAUAUCAGAAGUAUGUUAUGUAUUUAAAGUUAAAAAGCAUAUAACUUUUUAAAUGUUUAAUAAAAUUCACCAGUAUACACCAUCAUUUUCAUUGAGAAAAGUAGUUCAACCAAUCUACAAAGGCCAAAAAUAUUUUCACAGGCCCCCAAAAGAUGAACUCCAAUCUGCUGCCCCUAAACGCAUUCUCCACUGUCUGGAAGAUGUGCAAAGGCAACGGCACAGCGUUCUCCAUCUCAAAUCCUUCAAAGUGCUGUCAGAAUAAAAGAAUCCCCACCAAAAGCCCCAGGGAAAUCUAUCUGUCUGUAUGGUAUGGUAAUGACUGAGGUUAUUCCAGAUAGGAUUCUGGGAGAAACUCAGCUAUUGAAAUCUAAUGAAUGGAACUGAGAAUUUCUUGUUAUAAUACUGUUUGUUUGAUUGAAUAUAUCCUUGCAUAUAGGAAGACAUAAAAAUAAAUAAUAAAAGCAAGAUAUUAUUUGAA
rnacentral:lncRNA from 1 species